rnacentral:rRNA from 1 species
UACAGAGGUCCCAAGCGUUGUUCGGAUUCACUGGGCGUAAAGGGCGCGCAGGCGGGUUUGCAAGUUCGAUGUGAAAGCCCCGGGCUUAACCCGGGAAUGGCAUUGGAUACUGCAGAUCUGGAGGAUCGGAGGGGGGACUGGAAUUCUUGGUGUAGCAGUGAAAUGCGUAGAUAUCAAGAGGAACACCAGUGGCGAAGGCGAGUCCCUGGACGAUACCUGACACUGAGGCACGAAAGCGUGGGGAGCAAACAGG